UAUUUUGAUGUUUAAUUGACAGGUAGAUAUUAAUCGCGGCAAAUCUCUAAAAUAGCACCUUUCUAAGUUUAUAUCACAAAAAUAGUACUCAAAAACUAAAAUGACCAAAAUAUCACAUUUCUAAGUUUAUCUUUUGAAAAUUUUAAUUUUUUAAUUUUUCAAAAUUUGAAAUCUUAUCCCCAAAACCUCAUUUCUAAACUCUAAACCCUACGCCAUAAACCCUAAACCCUAAACUCUAAACCCUAAACCCUAAACCUUAAACUCUAAACCUUAAACCAUAAACUCUAAACCUUAAACCAUAAACUCUAAACCCUAAGUUUGUGACUUUUGAUAAAACAUUAAGUGCUA
rnacentral:lncRNA from 1 species